UACGUAGGGUGCGAGCGUUGUCCGGAAUUAUUGGGCGUAAAGGGCUCGUAGGCGGUCUGUUGCGUCAGGAGUGAAAAACUCGGGGCUUAACCCCCGAGCCUGCUUCUGAUACGGGCAGACUAGAGGUAUGCAGGGGAGAACGGAAUUCCUGGUGUAGCGGUGAAAUGCGCAGAUAUCAGGAGGAACACCGGUGGCGAAGGCAGGUCUCUGGGCCACUACUGACGCUGAGAAGCGAAAGCAUGGGGAGCGAACAGG
rnacentral:rRNA from 1 species